UUCUCUUUUACUGCUUCCAAAUGAGUCUAAGACUUCAGACACUGAAAAUCUAGAGAUUCAUUUAGCGUUCGUGCUUAUCAUUGAGAAUUAUAAAAUAAAUUAGUUAUGAUAAUACUAAAGAAAAAAUUCAACUGAAUUUUAAAUAAUAUUUGAUGAAAACUUUGGAAUAGUUAGUUAAUAAGUUAUUUUUUAAAAAGUGAAUUUAGUGAAAAAUAUUUUUAUAGUGAUUUUCUUGUAUUCCUUACAGAAGUUUCGAAACAUGAUUUCAAUAAAAAUGUAUCAUGUAUCUAAUAUAUGAAAUUAAUGGUUCGAAGGAUUCUAAAAAUAUUCAAGCUCUCUGUAAAUUGAUACAUUGAUUCUUAUGUAUUAACAAAGAAAUACGAAGAACUACAAAAUCUUGAAUAAGUUGGCUAUAAAGAUAUACAUGAUGCUUGGAUCAAUGGUAAAAUAGCCAUUAAAAAAGGAUUUGAAUACAUGGAUUUUUAUUUUUAAAAAAUUAAUAAAAAAAUUCAUUUAUUAAAAUAUAUAACUAAAAAUAAAAUUCAAAAACAUAACGAUAUCUUAGAAUGGUCUUAAUCGUACAAUUAAACAAAAGGAUAUUCUACAAACAAAUGUCCCUCUCUGAUUUCUACAGAUUUGUAUUAAAUAUAUUUUAUCAUCGUAUAAGAUUUUCUCAUUUUCGCGCAGAAUGGAUAGUGCGCGAGGAGGUGCUGCACUCUUCUGCAAAGUGAUCGAAGUCAUCGCCGCUAAUAUGCGGCACUUCAGUCUACUUCCAGAAUGUUAUCUCACGUGCCUAAGUUCAAGAGGUAAUAAUAAUACUGAAAUAACCGAGUCGUCAAAGUUCUCAUCGAAAUCCAAUCCAUUUGAAAAUUCUCUAUCGUCAGUACCUUUCUGAAGUAUUGGAGAUAUCACCUAAAAGAUGCUUCAUUGAGAAGGAGGACAACAAUAUUGAUACGAUUAAUAUCUGAUAAGCGAAAGAAAAUGCGUAUUCGUAACUAUCGCUACGAUAGAGCGUCUCAAAAAUUUUAAAUAAGAAAAAUAAAAUUCAUAAAGACUCGAUAGAUGUCAUGAGAAAUCAUUUUAUGGGUAGAUUUAUCGUUGAAUUAAAAUGGAUAACAAAUAUGGGGUUAUAUUGUUGGCAAACUUAAAAGAAUAUUGGUCAAGGAAUAAUGUUAAUUACAUUCUUUUUUUAUUCAAACACAUUCACAGAGACAUGGAUUUUUUGGGUGCUUCAUUUAGAAACAAUUUCAAUAUAUUUCAAUACAUAAAAAAGCGUUAUAUGUAUGAUUAUAAAGUUGCUUUCUUGAUUAUAUAAAUUCAAAAUUUUUGAAUUUUUGAAUUAUGCACUGGAAGAUUAUGAUUUAACAAAAUCAACUAUGAUUUAAAGACCAAAUGAGGAGAAUUAGAAUUUACACGAUAGCAGAUUCAAAUGCUAUGUUUAUGAUAUUAUGGAGCUUUCACAACAGAGAAAUUAAAAGACCUUCGAUAUCAAUCAGAAUUAUAUCUUUACAAAAUGUUGUUGGAUAAAAUUUUUAAUGUUUAAAAACAUUUGUUCUUGUUGAUAUAUUUAUGGAUCAGUAUUAUACAAGCUAUUGUGGCUGAAUUAUUCAAAUUGAAACGUCAUUCAAUUGGGACGAUCUUAACAAAUAGGAAAGAAUUACUAAAUCUGAUAAAAAAAGAAAAAAAAAUUUCAAAACAAUCCAUGAUAGCAUUAAAACAAUUCAAGGAAAUCAAUUAAUUGGAAAAUAUAAUGAAAAAAUAAAUCACAAAGGAUCAACGACAUUUUUUCCCAAUAUCAAUAAACUAUUAGAAGAAAAGAGAUCAAUCAACAUACUCAAUAUGCACAACCAAAAAAGUGUUUUGAGGUAAAUAGAAUUGAUAAGGAAUACAGAAUAUGUGUACAGAAUAUAUGAGAAUACAUAAUAGUAUUUUCCUAUUCAUGCGAAAAAAAAUUAAAUUAUAAUAUAUUAGGUAUGCAAAUAAAUUCCUCCCUCCUUCUUUUUACGAUUUUUAAUUUUCGACUGAAUUCGAAUCACUUCUUGUUUGUGGUGAAAAAGCGUCUUUUUUUUUAAAAAGAGUUGUGAUAAGUUUCCAAUCUUAUGCAAUAAUUUCAAGAGAUAUGGCGUGCGAAAAGCAUCGUCCGCGUUACUGCUUACUUUUUCCAUUCCAACUUAAAAAAUCAGCUAUUGAAGCUACUGAAAUGAUUUAGCACUAAGAGAGAACGCUGAACGUCUUAUAGAACAUGCAAAAAAUGAUAUCAAAGAUUUAAAACCGGAAAUUUUAAUUGGAAAACGAAAAUCGUUCAGAUGCAUUGAGAAAGUUUAAAAGAUUUAAAAGAAGAAUUGGCAGAAAGAUUGGGGAGUUAUAAGACGAGUAUCUAUCCAACUGAAACAAUUGGAUUUCUUUUACUCGAUUUAUAAUAAAAUUUGUUAUAAUUGAAUUUGUAGAAAAGAAAGGAGAAAGAAUUUAUUUGCACAUCUGAUAAAUAUACAGCCUUAAUAUUGUUGUUUUCUGCUCUUUUCAAACGAGAAUAUUGUAUUCAAUAAUAAACGAAUUAUAUAAUUGUAUAAAUAAUCUUAAAUUGAUAUUAAAUUAUAAUUAGUAUGUAAAUAAAAAUGUCAGGCGGAUGCAACAUUGGUAUCAGAAAUGACAGAGGAUUCUUCUUUUAAGAAAAAAAAGAAAUUCUAACACUAAUACUAAGAAGAAAGUUCGCUUUUUGUAGAAUUGAAGAUUAAUUUACAGAACUUCAUUGAGAAACAAUUCGCAGAAUAAUAUCGUUUUUGGAAGGAGAAACACUAACGAAAUCUAAGAAAGAACCAAAAAUAAAUAAACGGAUCAUUCGUCUCAAUGAUUAAAUCCGACAAAUGCCUGUUUUCUAUUGUUCAUAACAAUUUUAGAAUAUUUAAACAACUGAUUGAAAUGAGACAGACAACUAUCUCUGAACAAAAUAAAAGAAAGAAAAAUGAAGAAGAAAGUAAUAAAGCUACAUAUUGAUAAAAGAAAAUUUCCAUAAAAAUUGUUAUAAAAAGAAGAAGAAAAAAAAAGAAAAAGAAGAAUUUUUGGCUUCGAUUCCUUAUUGAAAACGAACCCAUCUUUAAAUUUAUUGGUCGUCGAGAGAAUCAAUAAGAAAAUUAAAAUAAUUAUUUUCACGGACUCAAAUUUAAAUCUAUUAAAAGCGGAUCAUGCUUUUCGAUUUUGGCGUGAGAAGAUUAGGAUCGAAAAUGUUUUUUCGAUUUUUGUAGAAACGUUACGAAAUUAUGAUGUAUUUUUAUUAUUAAAAGUAGAAAAUUUCAAAACUAAAAAAAGGUUCCCAUUAGUCAACACGAAAAAGGAUUGUCUUUUAGAUAUUAAUUUUCUUAAGAAACGUAAAUGUUAAUUAGAUUUUAGUCGAAAAUGUAUAAUAUUUAUUGAUGGAAAAAAGAAUUAUUUUCUAAAGAAAGAAAAAGAAGAAAGAAAGACGAAUAUAAAAGAAAAAAUUUCUAAAUAUUUACAGAAGAAAAAAGUUGAGAAUGCAAUAUUAUUUAGCAUUAAAUUAACAUUGAAAAUCGUUGGCCCAUUAAACAUCGCGCCGAUUUGAAUGAAUUAUUAACUCUUUGGGCUUCAAUGAAUUUGACACUUGAAUUUGAAUGACGAAUAAAUUUAUUUAUGUUUGAUUUUCUAAAAAUAUUGUUUCAUGAAUAGAUUUCUUAUAAUUGUAUAAUCUUAUAAAAUAUAGAAUAAUAUAAAAUAGUCAAAUGGCUAGAUUCUUUUGGCGUUAGUCCGAAUUUGACAAUGGUGGCAAUAUUUUAAAGUUUUUGAGUUUUAUAAAUAUAGAAUAUGGUAAUGAAAUUUGUAGAGAAAAGUUCAUAAAGUGAAGAUGAGUUUAAUUUUUCGUUAUUGAAUAAUAAAAUUAUUUCUAUUCGUUAAGAAAUUGACGAUAGAGAAGAGAAAAAUAGCGAUGAAAAUAGAGAUGUAGUAAGAGAAAGUGAAAAAUAAGAAUAAUAGACAAUGAAUAUGAGAGCAUUAUUGGGAUUGUUUGUUCUCAAUGAAAUAAAAAAAGUGAAAGACAUCAAAUGACAUUUUAUUGUGAUACUUGUUUUGACAAACUGAGCAUGCAUAUUGUUGAUUUCCAAAGUGGAUACUAGUAAAUUUCGAUGGAUGAGAAAGAUUAAGAGAAAAUUGCCUUUUGCGUAGGAAUUAUGAUUUAUUUAUGAAAUCAUAAAAAAUGCAUUUUUGUAAAAGAAAUAAGAUUUGGAAUAUAUAGUUGCGAAUUGGAAUAAAAACAAAUGAAACAAGAUUAAAACUAUUCAGAAAUGGAAAAUUCUAAAAAAUAUUUUCCAAUCAAAAAAUUUCUUGAGACUUAUUACAAGAAAUUAGAAUUUUUGUUAAUUUUUUUGUAAAAAAUUGAUUGCAAAAUUUUUACAUCGUUUGAUUGAAGACUUAAUAUAGUUUAACUACUUAUUGUCAAGAAUUGAAGAUAAAAUUGUUUUAAUGUAUUCAAAAAAUGGAAAAUUUAUUUUGGAUAUAUCAAAUUUUGCAAUCUUAAAGUGCUCCUCAAAAGCAAGAAGGAUAGAAAGAAGUCAUCGUCUAUUUCUUAAAAAGAUUGGCAAAAGAUUAUUACAGAGAUCAAAUAUAUAAUUAAAAAAUUAUUAGCAAUAGUAAAGUCAGUAAAAUAUUUCCAUAAUUUUUCUUUUUUUUUUACUAGCAGAAGUUUCUGUUAAGAAUAGAUCAUGCAGUUUUACAAUGGUUUUACAAGAAUAUGAUUUUGAAAAGAUAGAGAUUAUAAUAAUGCAUAUUCAAUAUGCAAAAAAUGUUUAUGCCAGAAAACAAAAGACAGGUUCAUAGAAUCUUUUCUUUGUUUCGAACGACUUAUGAAAUUUCAAAAAUUUAAAAUUUAAAAAAGUUUAAAAAUUAUCUCAAUUGGAAGAUAAAGAAAUAAGAUUUAUUUUUAAAAAGAAAAAAUAAAAGAAAAACCAAUCUGAUACCAAGAUACAAUAAAGUUUUCAUCCGUCACAAAUAUAAUAUUGGAAAAUACGAGAUUUCCUGAAAUUAGAAUUGUUUCCAAAAAUAAAAAUCGAAAAAUGGCGAAAAGCUGAUUUGGCUGCUAGUAGUAUCUCAAAAAAACACUUUGGAGUAAAUAAAACAUUAGCAAAGAUACGAAAAUAAUUUUAUUUUUUGACAAUAUAUAGAAAAUUGAUGUAAUAUUUGAUUGUAAUAUUUGACGAACGAAGAAAGAAAUGAGAAUGUGGAAGAUUUAUAAUACUCGAGCACCAUUUGAAAAAGUAACACUCGAUAUUCACUCUUGAAUCGGAAAUCGAUUUUCGCUGAUUCUGAUCGACUAUUUUGUAAAAUGGCCUGAAUCAAUGCCAAUCAACAAUCUACAAUCUACAAUCGCCAAGAUUCUCUUCAAACAUCUUAUAAAUGGAUACAGAAUGCCUUUAAAGAUUCGUUUCAACCAAAAAAAUAAUUUUUCAAUUUAAAAAUUAAAUUGCUUGGAAUCAGAAUCGACUCUAUUAUAUUCCCAUUCAAAUGAACUGUCAAAAUGUCUAAUUAGAACUGUAAUAUUUGGCGAUGUUUGUUGAAGAAAAUCAAUAUAAUAAGAGGAAUGGACUUAUUUAUUUCUCUUAGCUUAACGUAUUUCAAGACAUGAAUCAACAUAAAUGUCACCAAUUGAAAUUUUGUAUGAUCAAAAGUUUGCCUAUACAUUACAUAGAAAAGAAAUCCUUUUAAUCAAGAAGAAGAGACUAAAACAUAUAUUGAAAAAAUAAAAAAAGAAUGAAAAAGAUUUAUCAAUGUGUUUUUGAUUCGCUGUUUUAGAAAUCUCUUCGAAAGUGAUAACAUGAUACGAUAGCCUUAUUUAUACCAUGAAUUUAAUCUAGGAGAGAAAGUAUGGCUUCAUCAACCAUGGCGAACGAAAGGAAAAUAUUGGAAAUUACAGAAAAUAAGAUUAGGAAGGACUCUAUACUAGAUAAUAUAAAUGAUGUAAUUUAUCACAUUUGAUUAAUCGAUUAGUAAUUAAUAUGAAAUUCGAGAAUGAAAAAGAAAAAAAGAAAAGAAAAAAAAAUUAGUUUCACGAAAUAAUUUCAAGAAGAGAACGUUUAAUAUUCUUUUUCGAAGAAUAUUAGGGCAUAUGUUAAAGUAGUUUUCUAAUUAUCAAUAAUUUCUCUUCGACUAUGAAGGAAAACUUCGAUGAGGAAGUCGAGUUCUUUUGAAAUGAUGCCUUUUUGAAGCCGGAUUCGGGGAAGUUGCAACAGAAUCCGUUCUGUAACGAUCCGUAACAGCGAAUCAAAAACAAUGUUGGUUCACGAUGAAAAUUCAAAUUUUUCUGAUAUAAGAAAUUCAUCUAGUGAAUUGAAGAUACACUUUGAAAAAGAAAUUAGUUCCUAAGAUUCAGGUUUCAACCUGAAAAGAUAUUAUGAAAAUUUAAGUGAAAGAUUAAAAUAUAGAUUCGAAUAUGAACGCAAGGAAAGAACAAAGAAUUUAGAUAUUAAUGCCUUACUUGGGAUUUUUCUCUGGAAUGAAGGAUGAAUAUCGAGAUUCGCUUCUGAAGAUUAGAUGAAUUUAUAAACCUCUUUCAGACAAGUUUCCAACUAAAAAGAAGUUGAAUGAAGUUGUUGCACUCACUUUUUUUCGAAGAGAGAGAUAUUCUUGAGAAUAUUGUAUUCUAUAUUAAACGAUUUAUCAUUGUAUAAAUUAAUAUUAAAUUAUAAUUCUAAAUUUAUCAUGGAAGAACAAAUGUUAUUAAGCCGAUACAAUAUUUAUGAAUGAAUAUUUAUUAUAUUUCUGAAAAUGCACAAAUAAUUUACAAGAACCAAGCCUUUUUGGAUACACGUUUUUAAAAAGAUGAAUCUUUUUUCUGAUUCCUUUUCUUAUAUUUGAAAAUUAUUAGCAUUAAAAUCUUUUACCAGAAUAAUAGGCUUUAUCUCGUGCUCUUAUAUAUGUUUCUUAUAGAUCUUCAAUAUAAAGUUAUAUAUUUAUAUAAAGGGUGUCCUAAAAUUCAUGCAAGAUUUGAAUUUUGUGCCAUUUGUGCGGUAAAGUGUUGCCAACGAAAAAAAAACAGCAUGGCAGCUGAUUAGUUUAGGAUUAUUAAAAAAUGGAGAUUUACACGAAAGAACAAUGCGUUUUCAUUGCUGAACAAUAUUUUAAAAAUAAUGAAGAUUUGGCAACUACAGUUUGCAAUUUUCGUACAAAAUAUAAUCGGAAUAGUAAUUUAAUUUCAUCAAUUUUAAAGAGAUUAAUUAAGGAAUUUAGGGAAACUGAAUCAAUUAGUGAUCUUAAGCACCCUGAUCGUCCUUUGACAAGUUCAACACAAAACAUUGAAGCAAUUCGUGAGAGUGUUGCUGAGAGUCCAGAGACAUUAAUUCAGCACCAUGAUCAAAAAUUGAACCUUUCAAGAAGCUCUCUAUAGCGUAUUUUCACGAAAAAUUUGCAUCUUCAUGCUUACAAGUUCAAUUGACUCAAGAACUGAAAUUUACUGAAUAGAAUUCAUUGAAUAGAUUAUGGAACAACAACAGUGAAUGCUGAUUUUUCGAACAAAAUCAUCUUUAGCGAUGAGGCUCAUUUUCAUCUUGAUAGAUUGGUUAAUCGAUAAAAUUGUCGCAUUUGGGGUUCAGAAAAUCCACGAGUGAUUGUUGAGAAAUGCAUCCACAAUGUGCCAUUGUUUGGGCUGAAGCCAUCAUUGGACUAUUCUUCAAAAAUGCGGCUGGUCAGGCAAUGAUAGUUAAUCUAUCACGAAUAAUAAUUUAGUUUUUGUGCCUAAAUUGCAAAAUAUGAAUGUGAACAACAUGUGGUUUCAACAAGACGGUGCCAUAUGCCAUACAACUCGAGAAACAAUUCAAUUACUGCACGAGUCAUUUCCUGAUCAUGUAAUUUCCCAUUUUGGUGAUCCGCCAGAACCGCCCAGAUUUAACCCCGACUUAGAUUUUUUUCAUUAGGGUUUUUUGAAGUCUAAGGUUUAUGUCCAAGAUAAGUCCACGAUUACUCAUGCCUUGAAGGAGGAAAUUGAGUGUUGUAUCAACGAAAUUCAGCCACAUUUAUGCAAAACGAUUUCAUGGAAAAUUUCAACAAAGAAAGGUUUACAGCGAUAAAUUCAACGGAUGUACUAGAUUCAAGUUAUUAAAGCCAAUUAUUCAUAUUGCGGCAUUACAUUAGCGAAUCAAAGGAGAAGCAUCCGGACUCGGUAAUCAUAACAAAUCUAUUUGAAUUCUUUUUGUACAAGGUUUCAAAACUUUAUGAAACUAUAAAACUUUUGGCACGAAGUGUAAACUAACAUUGAAGAUUGCUAGAAUUGCCAGGAUCAUAGUUUUGAAGGAAUUUGAGAUUAAAUAUUUUAUCUCCAUUUUAAAGUGUAAGUUUACAAUAUUUCUUAAUAAAGAAAUAAAGAGCUAAUCUAUUUACAGAUCAGUAUUGCUGUCUUAUUAAUUAGAGAUAAUGAAAUUUAAAAAUAAAGAUUGUCUCAUGAAACGCCAUAACAACUGAGCACAAAAGGAUAACAGAAGUUACGAAGAAUCGUAAGAUUUGUUCUCAAUGAAAUAAAAAAGUUACUAUAAAAAAUUCUUUGAACAUUCGAAAAAUCGUCUCAAGUUGUUCUGUUAAAGAAGAGUUAAUCGUUUUCUGUAUAUUCUUUAUCUUCCAAAUAUUAGAUAUUUUUUUAAUAUUUUUCAAGAAAAUAUAUCUGUACGUCCGAAUGCCAAGAAAAUUAGCAAGUUUGUUGAGUGUAGCCAACCAUGUAUCUCAUAUGGGUUGUUUAAAUUUGGCCCAAUUGACAUAUCACAUCUCUCACACGAUAUUAUAAAUUAAGGAUUAAUAAUAAUAAGAAUAGCGACAAAUCAAUAUGAAACUAGAUUCAAAUAAUUCAGGAAGCAUCACUAACAUUAAUAAAAAUUCUGAAAUCGAUUCAGCCACCAGCUAUAUAUCAAAAUUGCUGCCAAAGAGAUAACGUAUAGUUAAUUUUAACAAGGAAUCUUCAAUCGGAAAAUAUUUCUAUCUCAAAUUUCUUGGCGAUCAAAUUCGAUUCCACUUUGAGGCUGUAAAAAGCUUAGCUUCUCCGAGGCUAAGGAAUUUUCUAUAAAGGCAGGAAUCAAAUUUCACACAUAUCCACUAUUCAAAAUUGAAAAAUAUUGAAAAAUCUAUUUUCGUUAUUUUAAAAGGCCUAUCAAGUAUCAACCCUAAAAUCAUGGACGAACUUAAACCCAGAAAAGAAGAAGAAAGAAAACGAAUUUAAAUCCAGGUAGUUGUAUUUCUCCGAAAAUAACAGUUCCGAUUUGGAUUAUCUGUAUUGGAUUACAUUCAGUGUUAUAACUGUCAGGCAUUUGGUCUUGAGCAAUGCUUCAAGAACUCACACAAGGUAUCAAGUGCAGCAUAUCCCACUAGACCGUGCAGUAAACUUUCCUAUGUGGCUCCCAAAUACACUAACUGUGGUGAUGAACAUACGAUAAACUACAAUGAAUGCUCAAGAUUAUUGACAUACAUCAGGAAGAAAAUCGAAACCUUUGAAACCCACGUUAAUAAAUAUGCUCCUCUUGAAUUUACAGAACGACAGUGAAUAUGUCUGAUAACAUUUUCAUAUACACGUUAAAAUCAUAUAGCGAUGUCUCAA